GCUUGGAUUUACACCAUCUAUCAUCUUAAUGGAACACAAGAAAAUAUUGAUAUUAGAAGUGCAGUUGAGGAUUUAGGAAUCAGUUUGUGUCCACUGUGGUUGGUAUGAUGUCAAGAUUUAUUCUUCUAUAUUUACCUAGAGGUGAUGAGAAACUGCUUUUUUACUUUUUAAUGUUUUUUUUUCAUUUAAAUUUAAAUGUAAACAUUUGUUUUAAAUACAUUUUUGUUUGCAGUCUUAAAACUAAUAUAAAAUAAAUUAGAAUAUAUAAAUACUUACGGGUUUGUUUUUAUGUCUCAAAUAUAAAAGUUACAAUAAUGAUGAAAAAUGAUCUUUAAUUUUCUCAGUAAUUUCAAGCCACACGAAUUUAAACGUUUUGUACGUUAAAUCACUUUAAUUUUUGCAGUUUUAUCAUAAAAACAGAGUGUUUUCAGAGGAUAGAUGUUUGUUCACAGUGCAGGAGGUUUUUGUACGGCCGCUUUAUGAGUUUGUAUCACUGUGGAGGACUUUUGGUGGAGGAACCAAACUCAUCUUUCACUCUGGCCCCAUGCUCAGGCCCUCAGUCUCUCUGCUUCCCCCCUCCUCUGAGCGGCUCUCUGGGGCCUCGGCCACGCUGGUCUGCCUGCUGAGCGGCUACUCUCCUCAGGGAGCCGUGGUGAGCUGGGAGGUGGACGCUACAGAGGUGACAGAGGGGGUCCUGAGCAGCUCCGAGGAGGAGAAGAGCGGACGCUACAGCAGCAGCAGCACCCUGAGCCUGAGCCAGGAGCGCUGGAUGGAAGGAGAGCUGUUCUCCUGCAGGGUCCUCCAUCAUGGCCACAGCCAGACCCGCUCCCUCCGCAGGAGCCAGUGUGAGGGCUAGAGGGGCUGGCUGAAGCCCAGGACAGCAGCUCUGUGUGUGGGGAGCAGGAGGAACACACCUGCUGCUCUCAUCAAUAGGAGUUUGAAUGUUUGUAGAGGAAACUAAAGCUUUGUGUGGCAGAGAACAACAGCUGUAAAGUGUUGGACAACAACAACUUAGAGAGUAAUGUGAGGAGCUCAGCAGCUAGAUGUGACUGUGCUUCAUGACUGUCAUGUUGAUGACUCGUGUUUUUGCUAAUAAAGCUUUCA